rnacentral:rRNA from 3 species
UUUAAUUGAAGAGUUUGAUCAUGGCUCAGAUUGAACGCUGGCGGCAGGCCUAACACAUGCAAGUCGAGCGGUAACAGAGAGAAGCUUGCUUCUCUGCUGACGAGCGGCGGACGGGUGAGUAAGACUUGGGAAUUUGCCUUUAGGCGGGGGACAACCACUGGAAACGGUGGCUAAUACCGCAUAAUGUCUACGGACCAAAGUGGGGGACCUUCGGGCCUCACACCUAAAGAUGAGCCCAAGCGGGAUUAGCUAGUUGGUGGGGUAAAGGCUCACCAAGGCGACGAUCCCUAGCUGUUCUGAGAGGAUGAUCAGCCACACUGGGACUGAGACACGGCCCAGACUCCUACGGGAGGCAGCAGUGGGGAAUAUUGCACAAUGGGGGAAACCCUGAUGCAGCCAUGCCGCGUGUGUGAAGAAGGCCUUCGGGUUGUAAAGCACUUUCAGUGGUGAGGAAAGGGU